rnacentral:rRNA from 1 species
GACAGAGGGGGCAAGCGUUGCUCGGAAUUACUGGGCGUAAAGGGCGCGUAGGCGGGAUGGCAAGUCGGUCGUGAAAUCCCUCGGCUCAACCGAGGAACGUCGAUCGAUACUGCUGUUCUUGAGGAUUGCAGAGGAGACUGGAAUUCCCGGUGUAGCGGUGAAAUGUGUAGAGAUCGGGAGGAACACCAGUGGCGAAGGCGGCACCCUGGACCAGCACUGACACUGAGGCACGAAAGCGUGGGGAGCAAACAGG